rnacentral:rRNA from 1 species
CUACGUGCCAGCAGCCGCGGUAAUACGUAGGUCCCGAGCGUUGUCCGGAUUUAUUGGGCGUAAAGCGAGCGCAGGCGGUUAGAUAAGUCUGAAGUUAAAGGCUGUGGSUUAMCCAUAGUACGCUUUGGAAACUGUUUAACUUGAGUGCAAGAGGGGAGAGUGGAAUUCCAUGUGUAGCGGUGAAAUGCGUAGAUAUAUGGAGGAACACCGGUGGCGAAAGCGGCUCUCUGGCUUAUAACUGACGCUGAGGCUCGAAAGCGUGGGGAGCAAACAGGAUUAGAUACCCUGGUAGUCCACGCCGUAAACGAUGAGUGCUAGGUGUUAGACCCUUUCCGGGGUUUAGUGCCGUAGCUAACGCAUUAAGUGCCCCGCCUGGGGAGUACGGCCGCAAGGCUAAAACUCAAAGAAAUUGACGGGGGCCCGC